rnacentral:sRNA from 1 species
CGGGGACUCAGAUUCCAAUAGGCAAAGUGUCUCAGAAUGCAAAGUAUGGCGAAAUCCACUAAAUUUAUUUAGGGGUGCUGAAUAUAAUCGGUAUACUUGGGUGACAGGACGAGAGCCUCUUACUUACUAUGACAUGAAUCUCUCUGCCCAGGACCACCAGACAUUCUUUACUUGUGACUCGGACCAUCUGCGUCCCGCAGAUGCAAUAAUGCAGAAAGCCUGGAGAGAGAGAAACCCCCAAGCUAGGAUUUCUGCAGCUCAUGAAGCCUUGGAGAUAAAUGAGUGUGCAACUGCUUAUAUUCUCUUGGCUGAAGAGGAAGCAACAACCAUUGCCGAAGCAGAAAAACUAUUUAAGCAGGCCCUGAAGGCUGGAGAUGGCUGUUACCGACGCUCUCAGCAGCUACAACAUCAUGGAUCCCAGUAUGAAGCCCAACAUAGACGAGACACCAAUGUCUUGGUGUACAUCAAAAGAAGGCUAGCAAUGUGUGCCAGAAGACUCGGGAGGACCAGGGAAGCAGUGAAAAUGAUGAGAGAUUUAAUGAAGGAGUUCCCCCUUCUGAGUAUGUUCAAUAUCCAUGAAAACCUUUUAGAAGCCCUUCUGGAACUACAAGCAUAUGCUGAUGUUCAGGCAGUCUUAGCAAAGUAUGAUGAUAUAAGCUUACCAAAGUCAGCAACAAUAUGCUACACAGCUGCUUUGCUCAAAGCAAGAGCUGUUUCUGACAAAUUCUCUCCUGAGGCUGCAUCUCGGCGGGGGCUGAGCACAGCAGAGAUGAAUGCAGUAGAGGCCAUUCAUAGAGCUGUGGAAUUCAAUCCUCAUGUGCCAAAAGCUAGGUGGAAAUAGAGGCUGCCUAGAAACAUGCAUUAACAGGUGCUUCUUGGGCCACCCUAGCCUGAAGAAGGACAA